rnacentral:rRNA from 1 species
UGGGGAAUAUUGCACAAUGGGGGAAACCCUGAUGCAGCGACGCCGCGUGAGCGAAGAAGGCUUUCGAGUCGUAAAGCUCUGUCCUAUGAGAAGAUAAUGACGGUAUCAUAGGAGGAAGCCCCGGCUAACUACGUGCCAGCAGCCGCGGUAAUACGUAGGGGGCUAGCGUUGUCCGGAAUCACUGGGCGUAAAGGGUUCGCAGGCGGAAUAACAAGUCAGAUGUGAAAGGCAUGGGCUCAACCCAUGUAAGCAUUUGAAACUGUAAUUCUUGAGAAGUGGAGAGGUAAGUGGAAUUCCUAGUGUAGCGGUGAAAUGCGUAGAUAUUAGGAGGAAUACCUGUGGCGAAGGCGACUUACUGGACACAAAUCUGACGCUGAGGAACGAAAGCGUGGGUAGCAAACAGG